AUGGGUGGUGAGGCCGCUUCAGCUCCGGCUGCGACAUGUGACGUUGAGAUGGGGCCUGACGCGCAGGCUGCGGGCCACCUUUUGGCGCCAGUGGGACAGCUGACCGUCCCGUCUGCACGCAGCUACUGGCGACCCGUGGCCCGGGCACAACUUUCCUCUUCGGAUUCUUGCUCGCCGGGGCUUUUGGUGGACGGGAGACAAGCCGAGGUCAGCGCCUCGGGCGACACUUCGCCCGUUUCGGUAUCCCUUCCUUGGUGGAGACAGGAUGUUUGCAGCAAUGAUGGUCUGAUUGUGGAAAGUGACCAUCGGGUUAUGAGCUCGAGGCCCGUGCACCCCAUGGGACCGUGCUUGUCGGGUGCGACACGUCUGCGGUGGUCGCCGGUAGUGGCGGACCCCAGCUACAGAGCCGCGCUGCCGGUCUCGCUUCUCAUUGGUGGACGCCUGUCACCGCCAUGCAUUGGUGCUCUGCGGCCCAGCCAUGCACGUUGCACGUCUAUUUCUGGGACGUUCAGGGACCGCAUUCGAGGCUUACAUGAAUCUGGCUCGCUAGACCUGCCGGUGGUGGAUCAGGCCGCUCCGGCAGCCUACUUCGAGGUGCCCCUGUCACCCAUGGAUGCGUCCCCGGUGGCUGGUGCAUCAGUCACGCCUGCGGUACCGGUCUCGCAUUGCUCGCUAGGGGAGCAUGCCUCGCCCUGUACACCGGUUGUGCCUGGCUCGCCUUGCACGCCGCGGCUGCCCCAUGCCGAUCCGGUGACGGGCAACGUGGCUUUGCACUCUGUGCUGAACCAGAUCAGGGCUCACAUCGCCAACCCGGUGCUCCCCCUUCCUUCGGUGCAGCGUUCACGGAGAGCAAAACUUGUGGUGCCUGAAGAUCAGUUGCGACAUAGUGCACGCAUAGCAUUCAACUCGCGUGGGAAGCCUGCCUCCUACAUCAAACGCGCUCAAAGCGUUCUUGUGUCCAAGUUGGGGUUUUGUGGGAUCGAGGACGAGCCUGAUGUGGACUGCCUUGCGCGUUAUGCGGAGAUGUUCAAGGAGCCGCUACCUGCUUCAGCCAUUGACGCGCUCAUUAAACUGUUUUCUUUGGAACAGUAUCAGACUGCGGGAGCGCCGACCCCGGUGUGCUAG
rnacentral:rRNA from 1 species